rnacentral:rRNA from 1 species
UACGUAGGGUGCGAGCGUUGUCCGGAAUUAUUGGGCGUAAAGAGCUCGUAGGCGGUUUGUCGCGUCGGCCGUGAAAUCUCCACGCUUAACGUGGAGCGUGCAGCCGAUACGGGCAGGCUAGAGUUCGGUAGGGGAGACUGGAAUUCCUGGUGUAGCGGUGAAAUGCGCAGAUAUCAGGAGGAACACCGGUGGCGAAGGCGGGUCUCUGGGCCGAUACUGACGCUGAGGAGCGAAAGCGUGGGGAGCGAACAGG